GGAUGUUAAGAUGAAAAGAGGUAAGGAAGGGACUGAUGCUGCCGAAGAACCAUAGACGUUUGGAAGCAGCCAAACAGCUUCUUACGGCAAAUUAGAAUUUUACAAUUUCAACCGUAAAGAACUUCUGGUUCUAAGGGGUGAAGAACAAGUACUGGCCUAGCUAAAAUUGGUAAGCUGAAAAAGGACUUUAGAUUGCCACUGAUCAUGCAAUUAAUGAAAACAUACACUUACACACACACACUCACCUGCUUUAAUUUGGCUUCUCAGAAAGUAACUCGAUUUUGUCUCACCAUCUUUCUUUCGCUUGGCUUUACAUUCUGGUGAAAGACAGAAGAGCAGAGGAAAACAGGCGUAAAAGAGGUUCAGCAAUGCCCCUUCUCAUGCACUGCAGUUCAAUCGCAGGCAACUUGUCCACAGGCUCUUCAGCAUCCUCUUCUGGACUCGAAUUUUGGAACGCAAUUAGGGAGCGAAUUUACAAAGGUGGAUAAAAAUGGAGGAAAUUUACCCUUCUCGGCUUCUCCUGGAGGAGCUCAGGAGGGAUCUUGUACAAAUCUUCAUCCACUGCCAUUGGAGCUCUUCUGGGCCUCGUUUGAGCUCUCCCAGCAUCAUAAACCUUCUUCCCCUGACUCCUCUCUUGCCCUCUCUGCUGCUGCUGCUGCUGCUUCGGGUCUCCGAUCUUCACCUUAAAAAUUAAUUACGAGAAUAAGCUAUGCAGAUUAAGAGCUACAGAUCGCCUUAAUUAAUUACCUUUUUGAUGAUCUGGGCCUGCUCCUCCUGAUGCUGCUUUAUGCUGUGAGAAGAUUUGAAGAGAUCAUCAUAAGCUGGAGCUUCGCCAUGGAAGUGGCCUCGGAGUAGACCGGCCUGCAUUGCUGAUUCGAAGUACUGGGUGAUGGGCAGAUCGUC